AUUUAACUCUUCAGACUCGGAGCCUCAGAGGCUGAAUAAUAAAGCUACCUACCAUGGUUUUCAUUUGAAUUUUAAACAAAAUCCAAAAAAUAGCCGUUUCUAAUCUUCCAGUGAUGAAAGAACACGAGAACAUACAGACGUCCCCCCUUUUCCCUCCCCAACGUUCACGCACGAGCAUAUAUAUAUAUACACGCCUGUAUAUUUACUAUUCCGGGAUUCCUGACACAAAUAGGUAGCCAUUUGAGAUAGUGUUGGUUUAUUGUGGCUCAUGCGUCAAUGGAGAGAAAGGUGGUUUUCGCAGCCAUCAAGACGCAUCCGAUGAUCCGAAAUGUAAGCAUUGCAGUUAAUCUGUUACUAGUCUGAUUCGUAUUCUUCGCCGAAGUUGAACAAUUUGGAUCUUGCUGUCAAUCUUGCAAAAAGGGGGAAUCUUCCUGGAGUUGAGCAGCUUGUUGUCCAAUGUUUCCAAGAACUAUUUGCCCAAACGAAGUACAAAGAAGCUGCAGAACUUGCUGCCGAGUCCCCACAAGGAAUCCUCCGAACACUGGACACAGUUGCCAAAUUCCAGAGUGUUCCUGUCCAACCUAGGCAAACGCCACCUCUGUUGCCGUAUUUCGAGACACUUUUGACAAAAGGAAAGCUUAAUGCUUUUGAGUCGUUGGAAUUAUCACGCCUUGUUGUUAACCAAAACAAAAAGAAUCUUUUGGAGAAUUGGUUGGCAGAGGAUAAGCAGAAUGCAGUGAGGAACUAGGGGAUCUCGUGAAGGUUUGAUGCACAAUUUAAGAUUCAAAUACUGUGGAUAAUGAUCUUGCAUUGAAAAUAUACAUUAAAUCCUAAGCAACUCCAAAAGUCGUUGUUGCUUUUGCUGAAUGGAGGGAAUUUGAUAAAAUUUUGAUAUAUUCAAAACAGGUUGGGUACAAUCCAGUUUAUCUAUUCCUUCUACAGACAAUCCUUUGUUCAGAUCCUCAGGGAGCUGUUAAUUUUGCGUUAAUGAUGUCUCAAAUGGAGGGAGGUUAUCCAGUUGAUUACAAUACCAUAACGGAUCUCUUUCUUCAGAGGAACCUGAUCCGUGAGGCAAUAGCUUUUCUAUUAGAUGUUUUGAAGCCAAGUCUUCCUGAGCAUACUUUCCUUCAAACAAAGGUCCAGGAAAUCAAUCUGGUAACUUUUCCAAAUGUAGGUGACGCUAUAUUAUCUAAUGGAAUGUUAAGCCAUUAUGUCUGUCCUCGAAUUGCCCAACUUCGUGAAAAGGCCGGUCUUUACAUGCGAGCUUUGCAAGUAAUGUCCUCUUAAAGCAAAGAUGAAGGGAUGAAGAAAGGUUGAUUUAAGUAUUUAUAUUGCUGUUUUCUAUUCAAAAUUAUAAUCAUCAUUUAGAUGGCAAAGGUAAAUAGUUUGAUGGCAGAUUACAAAAUAAAUUUCAUUCUCAUGUUCUAUCUGAUGAUAUAGAUUCUACGAUAAUGAAGGUAGUUACACACUUUACACUGAUAGCUUUCAACAACUAUAUUAUGACAAGCUAAUUGUGAUUUUCUUCCCAAGCCAUGUAUGAUAUGUUAGAAGCUUCUUUUUUUUAUUUUUUAUUUUUAAUCUCUUAUUGCCAUGUUUUCAUGAACUUUCCAUUUUAUUUUACAAUAUAUUGUCUUAAUAAUGUGGAAGUUCAAAGGUUGUCCUUCAUUAACUCUAGAUUUGUUAUAUUUCCUUGUAGAUGAAUCAUAGUCUUCCAUUAGUUGCAAAAUAUGUGGUUAUGUAGGAUUGUGUAAAAGUGCAAGUUUUCCAUUCCUAUUGAUCAAGUUUUAGCAGUGUAGCAAUGAACUUUGUAAAGAUUGAUGAAGCAAGGUACUUGC